CGUUGGGCAGCUUACACAUGCAAGUCGAACGGUGUCUUCGGACAUAGUGGCGGACGGGUGAGUAACGCGUGAGAAUCUGGCUUUAGGUCUGGGACAACCACUGGAAACGGUGGCUAAUACCGGAUGUGCCCUUUGGGGUGAAAGAUUAAUUGCCUGAAGAUGAGCUCGCGUCUGAUUAGCUAGUUGGAAGUGUAAUGGACUCCCAAGGCGACGAUCAGUAGCUGGUCUGAGAGGACGAUCAGCCACACUGGGACUGAGACACGGCCCAGACUCCUACGGGAGGCAGCAGUGGGGAAUUUUCCGCAAUGGGCGAAAGCCUGACGGAGCAAUACCGCGUGAGGGAGGAAGGCUCUUGGGUCGUAAACCUCUUUUCUCAGGGAAGAACACAAUGACGGUACCUGAGGAAUAAGCAUCGGCUAACUCCGUGCCAGCAGCCGCGGUAAUACGGAGGAUGCAAGCGUUAUCCGGAAUGAUUGGGCGUAAAGCGUCCGCAGGUGGCAAUGUAAGUCUGCUGUUAAAGAGUCUAGCUCAACUAGAUAAGAGCAGUGGAAACUACAUAGCUAGAGUACGUUCGGGGCAGAGGGAAUUCCUGGUGUAGCGGUGAAAUGCGUAGAAAA
rnacentral:rRNA from 1 species